rnacentral:lncRNA from 1 species
AUAUAAAUGCCCAAAACCACCCAAAAUGAAGGGAGACGCCCCCAGACCUAUUUCUUUCAUCUUGGUGCUCAAGAAACUCCAUGGAAAACUAAGGAACUCGGUGAAGCAACGAAGGAACUCAUUGGAUUUGGAGAUUUCACGUCAUAAUUUCAUGUAAUUCGAACUCUCUUUGCUUAAUAAUUUCUAGAUUUGGAUUUUCUCGU